rnacentral:rRNA from 1 species
GCGACCCCAGGAUGGGCGAGAC